CAAAUACGAUCUACAGACACCAAUAACUCCAGUGGGGGACGUCUGAUUCGCUAUCUGUCGUGACAACAUUAACCAGCACUCGUAUCCCAGCUCAUGCCACUUUAGUCAGUGCUCUGCUCGUAGAACUGUGUUGGUCAGUCAAUCUCCGGCGGCCAUGUGUUAACCCCGCAAUCAACUAACGCCGGGAAUGGAGAACUUACGACUGGCCGACAGAACCUGGGGGACCCUGGACAUGAUGGCCGUUCUUUUCAUUCUUCUCGUCUUCUUCUCUACCUGAGACUUGUGUAAAAUUGUCACAGAGCUGCCGCUUCUGUCGCUGCUAAUGAUAAUGUGCCAUGUGCAUGAACCGGUCAGAAUUUAUUGUC